rnacentral:rRNA from 1 species
GAGGAAAGAGGGAGGAGGGUUGAACACAUGCAAGUCGAACGGAAAGGCCCUGCUUUUGUGGGGUGCUCGAGUGGCGAACGGGUGAGUAACACGUGAGUAACCUGCCCUUGACUUUGGGAUAACUUCAGGAAACUGGGGCUAAUACCGGAUAGGAGCUCCUGCUGCAUGGUGGGGGUUGGAAAGUUUCGGCGGUUGGGGAUGGACUCGCGGCUUAUCAGCUUGUUGGUGGGGUAGUGGCUUACCAAGGCUUUGACGGGUAGCCGGCCUGAGAGGGUGACCGGCCACAUUGGGACUGAGAUAAGGCCCAGACUCCUACGGGAGGCAGCAGUGGGGAAUAUUGCACAAUGGGCGGAAGCCUGAUGCAGCAACGCCGCGUGCGGGAUGACGGCCUUCGGGUUGUAAACCGCUUUCGCCUGUGACGAAGCGUGAGUGACGGUAAUGGGUAAAGAAGCACCGGCUAACUACGUG